UUCAAUCACUCUGCUAGCAGAGUCUUUCGUUUUCUUGAUAUUCAAGGGUCGUGCUUCUGUAGUCCCAAUUAAACAGCUAUCUAUAUCAGAACGAGCGCAAGAAAGAGACCCAGAGAUUUGCAGAAGUUCGCCAUGAAAACGAUGAAUAGAAAAGGAGGAAAGAAAGAAUGAGUUGCUGCUUGGGCAAGAGAGCAAAGAGGUGAAUAUGUGUGUGAUAGCAAGAAUGGUGAUCCUGGUCUGCUGUAUUUAUACCAGUACUGCUAACUGCUAAUUAGAUCUACUUCUUUGACUAAAAUGAAGACCCUUUAUUUAAUUUAAUUAUUUUUUUUCUUGGGGAGGAUGCAAGAGUUUACUACGUAAUAUUCAAAACAAACGUGAGAUUUCUAAUGCUUUUCUCAC
rnacentral:lncRNA from 1 species